rnacentral:lncRNA from 1 species
GCAGCGUCUCCGACCGCCGGGCGCGGUGGCGCGUGCCUGUAGUCCCAGCUACUCGGGAGGCUGAGGUGGGAGGAUCGCUUGAGCCCAGGAGUUCUGGGCUGUAGUGCGCUAUGCCGAUCGGGUGUCCGCACUAAGUUCGGCAUCAAUAUGGUGACCUCCCGGGAGCGGGGGACCACCAGGUUGCCUAAGGAGGGGUGAACCGGCCCAGGUCGGAAACGGAGCAGGUCAAAACUCCCGUGCUGAUCAGUAGUGGGAUCGCGCCUGUGAAUAGCCACUGCACUCCAGCCUGAGCAACAUAGCGAGACCCCGUCU